rnacentral:rRNA from 1 species
UACGGGGGGGGCAAGCGUUGUUCGGAAUUACUGGGCGUAAAGGGUCCGUAGGUGGCUCGCUAAGUCAGACGUGAAAUCCCUCGGCUUAACCGGGGAACUGCGUCUGAGACUGAUGAGCUUGAGUGCAGGAGAGGAACGCGGAAUUCCAGGUGUAGCGGUGAAAUGCGUAGAUAUCUGGAGGAACACCGGUGGCGAAGGCGGCGUUCUGGACUGCAACUGACACUGAAAGACGAAAGCCAGGGGAGCAAACGGG